UACAUGGGGUGCAACCGUUGCUCGGAAUUAUUGGGCGUAAAGCGCGCGUAGGCGGUUACUUAAGUCGGAUGUGAAAGCCCUCGGCUUAACUGAGGAAGUGCACCCGAAACUGAGUAGCUAGAGUACGAAAGAGGGUCGCGGAAUUCCCGGUGUAGAGGUGAAAUUCGUAGAUAUGGGGAGGAACACCGGUGGCGAAGGCGGCCAUCUGGACGGAUACUGACGCUGAGACGCGAAAGCGUGGGUAGCAAACAGG
rnacentral:rRNA from 1 species